GUGCAUAAAAUGGUAAAUAUGAAAAUCUAAUUAAAAAACGUCCAAAAAGUUCCAAAAUAUUCUCUUAGGUUGUCAUUAAGAUACUUAGACAGCAUAAGUUGCUCAUAAAUCUCUGCUGGACCAUCACAGAAGUGAAAAUUAUCUUUGCAGAAGACACUGCUUACACUAUGAAUAAUCAUUGAUGACCUUGUUGCCUCUUUCCUUUCCAGCUUCAGUUUUGUUGAAAGAUGCUGGAUACUCACCCAUUUGAUCCAUGUCCAUCUGUCAUGCCUCAGAGCCUAAAGAAAUGGGCUGUGGUCAGCAUUUGGCUUCUUUGCACACAAAGCUUGAAGCAGCAAGAUUCUCAUAGAAAUUCUUGAUCUAUAUCCGUCAGCAGGAUUUUCAUUGCGUAAGAACCUCCCAUGCAUGACCCUGGACCGUUUCUCGACUCAGCUUCUGGAUGGUGGAUUUUGUCCCUGUCUUCUGGUUGUCCUCUGAGCUCCCCGGCUGGACGCCUGACCCCUGUGGAUCCCCCAUCCCUGACCCACCGUUGUGACCACACGCUUCUACACCAUUAUUUUUGUAAAUAAACUUUUGGUGACUCAU